rnacentral:rRNA from 1 species
AGUGAACGCUGGCGGUAGGCCUAACACAUGCAAGUCGAACGGCAGCACAGUAAGAGCUUGCUCUUACGGGUGGCGAGUGGCGGACGGGUGAGGAAUACAUCGGAAUCUACUUUUUCGUGGGGGAUAACGUAGGGAAACUUACGCUAAUACCGCAUACGACCUACGGGUGAAAGCAGGGGAUCUUCGGACCUUGCGCGAUUGAAUGAGCCGAUGUCGGAUUAGCUAGUUGGGGGGGUAAAGGCCCACCAAGUCGGAGAUCCGUAGCUGGUCUGAGAGGAUGAUCAGCCACACUGGAACUGAGACACGGUCCAGACUCCUACGGGACGCAGCAGUGGGGAAUAUUGGACAAUGGGCGCAAGCCUGAUCCAGCCAUACCGCGUGGGUGAAGAAGGCCUUCGGGUUGUAAAGCCCUUUUGUUGGGAAAGAAAAGCAGCAGGUUAAUACCCCGCUGUUCUGACGGUACCCAAAGAAUAAGCACCGGCUAACUUCGUG